rnacentral:rRNA from 1 species
UACGAAGGGGGCUAGCGUUGCUCGGAAUCACUGGGCGUAAAGGGCGCGUAGGCGGCCAUUCAAGUCGGGGGGUGAAAGCCUGUGGCUCAACCACAGAAUUGCCUUCGAUACUGUUUGGCUUGAGUAUGGUAGAGGUUGGUGGAACUGCGAGUGUAGAGGUGAAAUUCGUAGAUAUUCGCAAGAACACCGGUGGCGAAGGCGGCCAACUGGACCAUUACUGACGCUGAGGCGCGAAAGCGUGGGGAGCAAACAGG